AACGAACGCUGGCGGCAUGCCUAACACAUGCAAGUCGAACGAGACCUUCGGGUCUAGUGGCGCACGGGUGCGUAACGCGUUGGAACCUGCCCUUAGGUUCGGAAUAACUCCCCGAAAGGGGUGCUAAUACCGGAUAAUGUCUUCGGACCAAAGAUUUAUCGCCUUUGGAUGGGCCCGCGUUGGAUUAGCUAGUUGGUAGGGUAAAAGCCUACCAAGGCGACGAUCCAUAGCUGGUCUGAGAGGAUGAUCAGCCACACUGGGACUGAGACACGGCCCAGACUCCUACGGGAGGCAGCAGUGGGGAAUAUUGGACAAUGGGCGAAAGCAUGAUCCAGCAAUGCCGCGUGAGUGAUGAAGGCCUUAGGGUUGUAAAGCUCUUUUACCCGGGAUGAUAAUGACAGUAACGGGAGAAUAAGCUCCGGCUAACUCCGUG
rnacentral:rRNA from 1 species